GACGAACGCUGGCGGCGUGCUUAACACAUGCAAGUCGAACGGUAAGGCCCUUCGGGGUACACGAGUGGCGAACGGGUGAGUAACACGUGGGUGAUCUGCGCUGCACUUCGGGAUAAGCCUGGGAAACUGGGUCUAAUACCGGAUAGGACCCUGGGAUGCAUGUCCUGGGGUGGAAAGCUUUUGCGGUGUGGGAUGGGCCCGCGGCCUAUCAGCUUGUUGGUGGGGUGAUGGCCUACCAAGGCGACGACGGGUAGCCGGCCUGGGAGGGUGACCGGCCACACUGGGACUGAGAUACGGCCCAGACUCCUACGGGAGGCAGCAGUGGGGAAUAUUGCACAAUGGGCGCAAGCCUGAUGCAGCGACGCCGCGUGAGGGAUGACGGCCUUCGGGUUGUAAACCUCUUUCAGCACCGACGAAGCGCAAGUGACGGUAGGUGCAGAAGAAGGACCGGCCAACUACGUGCCAGCAGCCGCCGCAG
rnacentral:rRNA from 1 species